rnacentral:rRNA from 1 species
UUGCGGUUAAAAAGCUCGUAGUUGGAUCUCGGCAAGUAGAGGGCGGUAUGCUUCGUAGCAUUACUGCCCUAUUACUUGUAGUUUUGCCAGAGGUUCCUGGGUGCUCUUAAUCGAGUGUCUAGGGAUGCUGGCAGGUUUACUUUGAAAAAAUUAGAGUGCUCAAAGCAGGCUAUUACGCUUGAAUAUUCGUGCAUGGAAUAAUAGAAUAGGAAGUUGUUUCUAUUUUGUUGGUUUUCGGAAAUCGACUUAAUGAUUAAUAGGGACAGUCGGGGGCAUUUGUAUUCAAACGACAGAGGUGAAAUUCUUGGACCGUUUGAAGACAAACUACUGCGAAAGCAUUUGCCAAGAAUGUUUUCAUUAAUCAAGAACGAAAGUUAGAGGUUCGAAGGCGAUUAGAUACCGCCCUAGUUCUAACCAUAAACGAUGCCAGCUAGCGAUCUGAGGACGUUUUUUUUGUAGACUCCUCAGGAAGCUUCCGGGAAACCAAAGCGUGUGGGUUCCGGGGGAAGUAUGGUUGCAAAGCUGAAACUUAAAGGAAUUGACGGAAGGGCACCACCAGGAGUGGAGCCUGCGGC